UUAUUUUGAAAGUGCCAAAGUAGAAUGUGUAAUACAAACAUGUCCAGAGCUGCUUCGAAAAGAUUUUGAAUCAAUGUUUCUAGAAGUGAAUUCUGGCAAAUUAGUAGUACUAACUGUAACACAGAAAACCAAAAAUGAUAUGACCAUAUGGAGUGAGGAGGUUGAAAAUGAAAGAGAAAUGCUGUUGGAAAAGGUGAAAACAUGAAUCCAGAUGCCAUGGUGGCUCCCUUAGACUUCCAAGAUGAUGGUGUGACUUCAUAUAUGAUUUUCUUUAAAGACAGUUUAGAAAUGGAGAAAUGUUAACAAAUUCAGCUGAUUGCUUUGAAUUACCCAUCAUCAUAACUGGCUGCUGCUUUUUGUCAUCUACACAACACCAAGACUUGUACAGAUUUGGACUGAUGCCAUCAUGAGCUUCAUUCACUUAUUUUUGAUUUAUCUGCAGGUAAGCAUUGUUUUUUGUUUUGUUUCUUUUUUUGCUUUUUGGUGAGGCAAUUGGGGUUAAGUGUCACCUAAGGUCACACAGAUAGUAAACGUCAAGUGUCUGAGAU
rnacentral:lncRNA from 1 species